rnacentral:rRNA from 1 species
UACGAGGGGUGCAAACGUUAUUCGGAAUCACUGGGCGUAAAGGGUGCGUAGACGGCAAGAUAAGUCAAUUAUUAAAUCUCCUAGCUUAACUAGGAAUCUGUGGUUGAAACUGACUUGCUUGAGGAUGGAAGAGAGAAGUGGAAUUCUCGGAGUAGCGGUAAAAUGCGUAGAUCUCGAGAGGAACACCGAUGGCGAAGGCAGCUUCUUGGUCCAUUUCUGACGUUGAGGCACGAAAGCGUGGGGAGCAAACAGG